AGGUCACCAUGGACAGCUCACCUUAUUUCAAGUUGGUCGGCCCCAAUGGUGUGUGCCAUCAGAUCCCACCAGGCUCAUUUUGUACUAUAAACAUCCUUUUCACCCCUGAGGGGAGCAAGUUACUUUUCCUGCAGGAUCAUUUCCACCAGCUUGUCUGCAGCAGUGAAAGGGAAAAGGUCUCUGUGCCAAUCCGGGCCAUUGGUGCCUGCCCAGUCUUGGACUUCCCUGACCAGCUGGACUUCUCGUCGUGUCCAGUCAACCACAGCACCCAGAAGACUCUGCUGGUUCACAACACUGGGAACCUGGAAGCCUGUUACAGCCUCAGCACUGAGAGGUAAAGCAGCUCAUCUGUCUUAGUGCAAAACACCUUUGGGUGAUGGCAGAGUUGGGAAAGAGUAUCCCAAAGGAACCAAAGCAUCCGAACUGCUGCACUGCAGCCACAGCUGGAAAGGGGCAGGACGUGUGGGGUCUGCUGUUGCUUCUAGUGUUUUAAGCAGGAUGCAAGCCCUGAGCUUUGUCUCUCCCAGAUUUCCUGGGGACUACUGGAACACGUUAGUAGUUGGUCUGCACCCUCCUGAGCACCAACACCUUCUGAAAUGGCUACCUCCCACUGUCAGCCAAUAAACCCACUGGGCAGAAGCACCUCUCACCUGAGCUAUCCUGAAGCACUAAAGCCCUGAUUUUUGUGUCUGUCAGGCAAGAGCUGUUUACCUGGUGACAAAGCCAAAUUGCUCCUGUUAAAUCCAAACUGCACCAACACAUUUGCCUAAUG